GACGAACGCUGGCGGCGUGCUUAACACAUGCAAGUCGAGCGAUGAAGCUCCUUCGCGAGUGGAUUAGCGGCGGACGGGUGAGUAACACGCGGGUAACCUGCCUCAUAGAGGGGAAUAGCCUUCCGAAAGGAAGAUUAAUACCGCAUAAGAUUGUAGUACCACAUGGUACAGCAAUUAAAGGAGUAAUCCGCUAUGAGAUGGACCCGCGUCGCAUUAGCUAGUUGGUGAGGUAACGGCUCACCAAGGCGACGAUGCGUAGCCGACCUGAGAGGGUGAUCGGCCACAUUGGGACUGAGACACGGCCCAGACUCCUACGGGAGGCAGCAGUGGGGAAUAUUGCACAAUGGGGGAAACCCUGAUGCAGCAACGCCGCGUGAGUGAUGACGGUCUUCGGAUUGUAAAACUCUGUCUUCAGGGGCGAUAAUGACGGUACCUGAGGAGGAAGCCACGGCUAACUACGUGCCAGCCGCCGCCGUAA
rnacentral:rRNA from 1 species